GACUUCUUUUCGGGGGUUAAUUGAGCAGCUGACUUCUAAUCAGCAGGUUGAGGGUUCGAGUCCUUCAGGGAUCGCCA
rnacentral:tRNA from 1 species